GUUAUUUAAAAGGUAACUUUUCAUUCAAUCAUUCAUAUCCCAUAUAUACCAGUAAUUUAUAUAAAAUGUAUCCACCACCAAUAAAACCUGGUCACCACAACACCUAGCCAAUACUGAAUGUGGCAAUAAAACUCAACAAUAAAUCGCAUCAUUUGUUUUUUUUAGCAUGGAAGGAGGGAGAGAAUUUAUACUUUCCUACUGGUUAAUAUUUAAUAUACCUAAAAUCUUUAAAAGAUAUUUUACAUGCACAUAUGCACUAUUCAGCAAAAAUAAUAGUACUGUUGUUCACAUAAACAAGGGUCUGGAUGGGGUGUUCUCCAUUUCUUUAUCAUUUAAUCUUUAAGUUCAUUUGUCUCUAUUUUUGUUAUACUUUUUGUCCAUCAUUUUCUUUUUCUUUAUAUAAUAAAUAAGCACAUCAAUAGUUCAAAUAAUUAUGACGUCUGGCUAGGAUAUUUUAAUUUCAUUCUGGGAUGUGUAGGAAGCUUCGUGUCGGAAGGCGUCCCAGAAAAAAAAUA
rnacentral:lncRNA from 1 species